GAUGAAGAACGUAGCGAAAUGCGAUAAGUAAUGUGAAUUGCAGAAUUCAGUGAAUCAUCGAAUCUUUGAACGCACAUUGCUCCCGCCAGUAUUCUGGCGGGCAUGCCUGUUCGAGCGUCAUUUCAACCAUCAAGCCCCCGGCUUGUGUUGGGGACCUGCGGCUGCCGCAGGCCCUGAAAAGCAGUGGCGGGCUCGCUGUCACACCGAGCGUAGUAGCAUACAUCUCGCUCUGGGCGUGCUGCGGGUUCCGGCCGUUAAACCACCUUCAUAACCCAAGGUUGACCUCGGAUCAGGUAGGAAGACCCGCUGAACUUAAGCAUAUCAAUAAGCGGAGGA
rnacentral:misc_RNA from 1 species